UUUGGCCGUGUCUGCUGUGCCCGGGGCACAGCAAACGAAAGGUGCCCGAAAUGUCUACGUUCACCCAUGACGUCACGUCCGCUAUAACCCAUGAUGUCACAUCCGUUCAUUUCCAUGGCGUCUGUCUCACGGGACCGGUUGCGCUGCGAAGCGGUCCGUAUUCCGUGCCCACUUACAGCGAUACUUGCACUCGGCAUGGUGUGAUGAAGCCCAGCGGUGUACGUCGAAGUGCAGAUUUCCACAGUCAAGUAGCAGUUCUUCAUCAACAAGAACAUCUGUGCUGAAAAUAAAGUGUUCCUGCCCACA